rnacentral:rRNA from 1 species
UAGUGGCGGACGGGUGAGUAACACGUGGGAACGUGCCUUUUGGUUCGGAACAACUCAGGGAAACUUGAGCUAAUACCGGAUAAGCCUUUCGAGGGAAAGAUUUAUCGCCAUUAGAGCGGCCCGCGUAGGAUUAGCUAGUUGGUGGGGUAAAGGCCCACCAAGGCUACGAUCCUUAGCUGGUCUGAGAGGAUGAUCAGCCACAUUGGGACUGAGACACGGCCCAAACUCCUACGGGAGGCAGCAGUGGGGAAUCUUGCGCAAUGGGCGAAAGCCUGACGCAGCCAUGCCGCGUGAAUGAUGAAGGUCUUAGGAUUGUAAAAUUCUUUCACCGGGGACGAUAAUGACGGUACCCGGAGAAGAAGCCCCGGCUAACUUCGUGCCAGCAGCCGCGGUAAUACGAAGGGGGCUAGCGUUGCUCGGAAUUACUGGGCGUAAAGGGAGCGUAGGCGGAUAGUUUAGUCAGAGGUGAAAGCCCAGGGCUCAACCUUGGAAUUGCCUUUGAUACUGGCUAUCUUGAGUACGGAAGAGGUAUGUGGAACUCCGAGUGUAGAGGUGAAUUCGUAGCUCCUUCGGAAGACACCAGUGGCGAAGGC